rnacentral:rRNA from 1 species
UACGGGGGGGGCAAGCGUUGUUCGGAAUUACUGGGCGUAAAGGGCUCGUAGGUGGCCAACUAAGUCAACCGUGAAAUCCCUCGGCUUAACCGGGGAACUGCGUCUGAUACUGGAUGGCUAGAGGUUGGGAGAGGGAUGCGGAAUUCCAGGUGUAGCGGUGAAAUGCGUAGAUAUCUGGAGGAACACCGGUGGCGAAGGCGGCAUCCUGGACCGAUACUGACGCUGAGGAGCGAAAGCCAGGGGAGCAAACGGG